AGAGUUUGAUCAUGGCUCAGAUUGAACGCUGGCGGCAGGCCUAACACAUGCAAGUCGAGCGGUAGCACAGAGAGCUUGCUCUCGGGUGACGAGCGGCGGACGGGUGAGUAAUGUCUGGGAAACUGCCUGAUGGAGGGGGAUAACUACUGGAAACGGUAGCUAAUACCGCAUAACGUCGCAAGACCAAAGUGGGGGACCUUCGGGCCUCAUGCCAUCAGAUGUGCCCAGAUGGGAUUAGCUAGUAGGUGGGGUAAUGGCUCACCUAGGCGACGAUCCCUAGCUGGUCUGAGAGGAUGACCAGCCACACUGGAACUGAGACACGGUCCAGACUCCUACGGGAGGCAGCAGUGGGGAAUAUUGCACAAUGGGCGCAAGCCUGAUGCAGCCAUGCCGCGUGUGUGAAGAAGGCCUUCGGGUUGUAAAGCACUUUCAGCGGGGAGGAAGGCGUUAAGGUUAAUAACCUUGUCGAUUGACGUUACCCGCAGAAGAAGCACCGGCUAACUCCGUGCCAGCAGCCGCGGUAAUACGGAGGGUGCAAGCGUUAAUCGGAAUUACUGGGCGUAAAGCGCACGCAGGCGGUCUGUCAAGUCGGAUGUGAAAUCCCCGGGCUCAACCUGGGAACUGCAUUCGAAACUGGCAGGCUAGAGUCUUGUAGAGGGGGGUAGAAUUCCAGGUGUAGCGGUGAAAUGCGUAGAGAUCUGGAGGAAUACCGGUGGCGAAGGCGGCCCCCUGGACAAAGACUGACGCUCAGGUGCGAAAGCGUGGGGAGCAAACAGGAUUAGAUACCCUGGUAGUCCACGCCGUAAACGAUGUCGAUUUGGAGGUUGUGCCCUUGAGGCGUGGCUUCCGGAGCUAACGCGUUAAAUCGACCGCCUGGGGAGUACGGCCGCAAGGUUAAAACUCAAAUGAAUUGACGGGGGCCCGCACAAGCGGUGGAGCAUGUGGUUUAAUUCGAUGCAACGCGAAGAACCUUACCUGGUCUUGACAUCCACAGAACUUUGCAGAGAUGGUUUGGUGCCUUCGGGAACUGUGAGACAGGUGCUGCAUGGCUGUCGUCAGCUCGUGUUGUGAAAUGUUGGGUUAAGUCCCGCAACGAGCGCAACCCUUAUCCUUUGUUGCCAGCGGUUAGGCCGGGAACUCAAAGGAGACUGCCAGUGAUAAACUGGAGGAAGGUGGGGAUGACGUCAAGUCAUCAUGGCCCUUACGACCAGGGCUACACACGUGCUACAAUGGCAUAUACAAAGAGAAGCGACCUCGCGAGAGCAAGCGGACCUCAUAAAGUAUGUCGUAGUCCGGAUUGGAGUCUGCAACUCGACUCCAUGAAGUCGGAAUCGCUAGUAAUCGUAGAUCAGAAUGCUACGGUGAAUACGUUCCCGGGCCUUGUACACACCGCCCGUCACACCAUGGGAGUGGGUUGCAAAAGAAGUAGGUAGCUUAACCUUCGGGAGGGCGCUUACCACUUUGUGAUUCAUGACUGGGGUGAAGUCGUAACAAGGUAACCGUAGGGGAACCUGCGGUUG
rnacentral:rRNA from 1 species